UGUUCUCUUGAUUGCUUUCAUYUAAUCAAACAAAGAAACUGACACUUACAUGACAACAGAAGCGAGAGACCUACAUGAGAGACAUAUGAAAAACCCGAUGAUGCCUGCAGCUUCCAUGUAUAACUGUUACACUUAGCUACAAACUGCAUGAAUACUUGAUGAGGAAAGGAAGCACAUAUGUAAAUCUGUAAAAGAGGUCUACUUAAAGUCUUUUUGUCGCUGAUAACAAUGUAAUCCAGAAGAAAUAAAAAGAACUCAUAAAACAGAUGGCAGUUUAUCCAAAGUGAACUGGCAAAUGGAUGUGACACUUUUCUAAGAUCUUACAAGCUCCUGUUAGCCAGCUUGGCGUGGUUUAAAGAAGGAAAAUCUAUUCUAUACCAAACAGGUGUCGACGAUUGAUUCUAUCAAUUAUCUGAGUCCAAAAUCUUGGGAAGACUACAUUGACACAGUAAUUGAAGUCCUAUUUUAAUUUUUUCAUAUGUCCAGGUGACAAGUUGUUUGAUUUAAGUCCGUCUAUUUUCGCCUGGGAUGAUGGACGAUAAGAGCUUCUCUCACAAGUGAAAAAGGACAGAAAGUGAGGACUUUCUACUUCAUAACUAUAAGACUAUAUUGUUUAUUGACAAAAGGACAACAUAUGAAUGGAAYCAGGGCGUGUAUUCGGAUWUGAGAAAAAUGRGUUCAAAGGCUUCUAAUACGAGCGAUUGUAAUUCACACAGUUUUGAGGUAUCAUUUGUUGUUAUMUUCGYCWUACAAUC